rnacentral:rRNA from 1 species
GAUGAACGCUGGCGGCGUGCUUAACACAUGCAAGUCGAACGAGAAGUGGAGACGGAAACCUUCGGGCGGAAGACUUUACUUCGAGUGGCGGACGGGUGAGUAACGCGUGGGUAACCUGCCUCAUACAGGGGGAUAACAGUUGGAAACGACUGUUAAUACCGCAUAAGACCACAGCACCGCAUGGUGCGGGGGUAAAAACUCCGGUGGUAUGAGAUGGACCCGCGUUCGAUUAGCCAGUUGGCGGGGUAACGGCCCACCAAAGCGACGAUCGAUAGCCGAUCUGAGAGGAUGACCGGCCACAUUGGGACUGAGACACGGCCCAAACUCCUACGGGAGGCAGCAGUGGGGAAUAUUGCACAAUGGGGGAAACCCUGAUGCAGCGACGACGCGUGAGUGAAGAAGUAUUUCGGUAUGUAAAGCUCUAUCAGCAGGGAAGAAAAUGACAGUACCUGAGGAAGAAGCCCCGGCUAACUACGUG